rnacentral:rRNA from 1 species
AUUGAACGCUGGCGGCAUGCCUUACACAUGCAAGUCGAACGGCAGCGGACCUUCGGGUGCCGGCGAGUGGCGAACGGGUGAGUAAUAUAUCGGAACGUACCUUUCAGUGGGGGAUAACGUAGCGAAAGUUACGCUAAUACCGCAUAUUCUGUGAGCAGGAAAGCAGGGGAUCGCAAGACCUUGCGCUGAUUGAGCGGCCGAUAUCAGAUUAGCUAGUUGGUGAGGUAAAGGCUCACCAAAGGCGACGAUCUGUAGCGGGUCUGAGAGGAUGAUCCGCCACACUGGAACUGAGACACGGUCCAGACUCCUACGGGAGGCAGCAGUGGGGAAUUUUGGACAAUGGGCGGCAAGCCUGAUCCAGCCAUGCCGCGUGAGUGAAGAAGGCCUCGGUUGGUAAGACUC